GGAGAGGCCAACAGAUGAGGGAAGCCAUUUUUCUGCAAUGGAAUUAAAUGGCCAAGCCCAAGGACUCACAGUUGGAAGACUGGAGAAGACUUUUUAAAAAGAUCUGGAUUUUUCCUUAUGACUUGGAAUCCAUCUUUGUCUUGUAUAACUAGGUCAUAGCACACCAUUCAUGUCAGCAGUUAACAGUUUUGAAUUCCAAAAAAACCUAAAGCAGUAAACAGUCCUCAGCGAAGCCGCCUUUUUGCCUACCCAACCCUGGAAAGUUUGCAGAAGUGGAAGGAGCAGAACGUGAGGGUGUAACUUACAAAAAGGUUCUGGGCCGGAGAAGGGGCGACGUUCGGGCACCCCCCGAAUGGACAAUCUUUCCUUCUGUCAACGGCAGGGGCAGGCCUAGUUUGACUCUGACAGUCCUCCCACUAAGGAAUUCCUGGUGACUGGAAGGGGGAGUGACUCAGGCCCUCAACCUCUAGCAGGUAAGGGAGCUACCUCCUGGGUGGGCAUGCCCAGUUCCUCAGUGGGCCCAGCGCGGCCCAGCCUCCGAGGAAGCUCUGAGCAGCUGGCUUGGCUCCGAGGUAUUUUUAGCUACAGAUCCAGCCCCCCUCCAUCACCACAACAGUCGAGUCCAAAUCAAACGCGCUCCAGGCAGGUGGGGCUGGGGUUCUGCCAGCCUCCUGGCCAGCAGGGGUGGGUGGGCAGACUGGGGCCAGUAUCAGCUGUUCUGCCUGGACCCAGGCCGGGCUGGGAAGGCACACUUGUGCUUAUUUCCCGCCUCCACUUCUGUGCAAGCUUGUGCUGUCAUAAGCAGAGAUCACAGCCCCAUUUCUUGGAUGGAGAAAGUGGACACUGAGGUCUGAGGCUUUUGAGGACAGUCAGGAGCCCUCCUAUGGGCUCCAGUGAUGCACUCACCAGCUUCUGGUCCUCUUCUUCCACCUCUUAGAGUGCCUUGGCUCCCUCCUGUCGUCCUGGGGAACCUCGGCCCCAGCCCUGCCUCCCCAGCCAGUCACAGCUCCUCCCUGGUCACCCU
rnacentral:lncRNA from 1 species